GAGUUGAACGGGCCGUCGCUGCGGCAUGAUGCCGGAGAGGAAAGUCCGGGCUCAGCAGGGCGAGACGCUGGGUAAUACCCAGGAGGGGUGACCCUUGGAAAGCGCAACAGAAAGCAAACCGCCGUGCAUACGGUAAGGGUGAAACGGUGGGGCAAGAGCCCACCAGAGGUCAUGGUGACAUGGCCUGCUCUGCAUACCCCGUCUUGAGCAAGACCAAAUAGGAAAGGGGCCGGCCCGGCCAUACCUUUCGGGUAGGUUGCUUGAGUGUGCAGGAAACUGUACACCUAGAGGAAUGACGGCUACGGAAACGACAGAACCCGGCUUAUAGUUCGACUC
rnacentral:RNase_P_RNA from 1 species